rnacentral:lncRNA from 1 species
GACUUGAAUUUUUCAUAUGCUUUCUCAGGUGACAAAAUAGGGGAUACAUAAAAAGCAUUUCUACUGCUUACUGAAGGAUGGUGAUGACUGCAAGGAAAAGCACUUUUAUAAUUUUCUGAGUUACCAGAUGAACAAGCCACUUACACAAGUAGUGGUUUCUUAAAGAGACACAAAGAAAGUGGAUCAAGAAAAUGGAGGAACCACGGGAAUUUUUUUGUGGAAUCCUUAUUCUGUGCAAGGCUAUGAUCUGAUUGCCUUCUCUUCUGAAAGGAAGUGCCUUCUGGUCACCAAUAUGUCACUUGCCUGGUAUCUCUAUUUUGAGUAUUUCUCUCUGUGUGAACUGCUGCUUAGCUGGCCAGGACUCAAAUGGUUUCUUACAUAACCCAGGAUAUUUUCUUAGAUUCUCUUCUAUGAGUCAGUGAAUCAUAAUAUUCAGGGCAUAUCAGAGAUAAAAGAAGUCCAGAACAUCAACCACCUCUCAACCUCUGACCACUGACCCCACCAUUAUAUAGAUGUAGUCAUUGAGACCUAAAGGGGUAAUGUAAAUAUAUACGCUUUCAUAGAAAAUCGGUGCAGAAGCAGGAACAAACAAACACAGGAUGUAUGCUAACUGUGGACCAAAAACAAAAUGAAAACUCCAAAACUGAUUUUACUUAUCUUUUCCCUAAAUGCAAAUAAAGCUCACAAUAUCAGUUGAGUCAUCUAUAAAACAUGAUUUAGGGAAAACUGGACGAGUGACAACAGAGGCUCUCUCCAUCUCUUCCCAAGGCGGUACUCUCCCCUCUUUUGUUGAGUAAUGUAGGGUAGAGAAAAAAAUAAAACAGACCUACAUAAUUCCUCCAGAAAAGGGGACGGCACCUGAAAGCAAGAAGUAUGUCUCCUUCCUCUUCUUCAUCCUCUGCAGAGUUGUUCAAGAAGUCAGCUCUCAGGCACCAGCUAAAACUCUGGAGCCAGCACAACUCCAAUUUUGGAAACUACCAUUAUGGAAAGAAGAAAGUGAGCACAGCCGUGAGAGGUCUAUGGCUCCGAAUAUGGAACUCUUCAUCCUCUCAAACCUUUCUCCAGCUUCCAUAGAAGACUUCAUCUUCUUAUCUCUAUUAUCAUUUUCCUGCUCAGUGAAAGUUGCUCUUCUACCUCCACCCCCAGGCCUGGGGUGUGUGUGUGUGUGUGUGUGCUCCUUUGCAACUCAGCUCUAGGUGUCCAAGCAAAAGCUUGAGUUUUGCCGUCUCUUCCUUCAGCUUGGGAUUCCUGUGGAAGGAAUUGCUGACAGUGAACACUGCCCACCACUAGAGAGCAGUCAAAGCCAACAUUUUCCUGGGCAAAAACUUCUAAGAAGUUGUUUUCAAAGGAGCCAGGUUCUCUUGGUCCUCUCUUUCCCUCUCUCAUCUUUCUCAGGGCGGAGCACCCUGUCGGUCUCCUUCACAAAGGCAUAUUCUACAUGUCUAUUUAGACAUUAUGGGCGCAAUGAACACUGUGUUAAUUCUGCCAGAGAAGCCAUUGUCAAAAACGUUUGUUCUUGAAAUCUUCAUGUUUUUACCCCAUCAGCACAAACACAGCAUCAAGCUGACCUAGGUGAAUCAUAAAAUGUUGAAAAUAAAGGCAAUCUUGCAGUUAAAAAAAGAGUUAUCUUCAUAAAUCCAUAAAGGAAACAAAAUCAGACCUUGGUUGAUUCUUCCCUAACCCUCUUUAGUGAGACUAACAGCAGACAAACCUAAGCAGGGUCCUAUGCACAUCUUCAGAUAUGCUUUAUUCCUUCAGACAACAUGCUUUUUCCAACCUUAAUGAAGAGAACAAUUGUGCCUCAUAUAGGCUGUCUUUCAAAUUUCAGUAGGUCCAUGUCUACAUUAUUUAACUUACUUUAAUGAACAGUAAAAGAAAAUAAUUAUUGCAGAUUGGCCUGUUAGUGUGCAGGAAGAAUCCUCUAGUCUACUAGACUGGAAGGUGAAGAAAGGGAAAAAGAACUUCUGGAAGGAAAGGUAGCUGGAUUCACAUUCACUCUGGAUUCAACCUUAGAUUUACAUUUGAAUCAUGUCUUUGCCACUUGCUUAAGUGUAACCUCAGGCAAGUUACUUAAGUUCUCUCUAAAUCUUAGUUUCUUCCUCUGUAAAUUGGAGGUCAUAAGUGUUUUCAUCAAAUAGCAUAGUUUUAAGAAUUAAAAGAAC